AUUGAACGCUGGCGGCAGGCCUAACACAUGCAAGUCGAACGGUAACAGGAAGAAGCUUGCUUCUUUGCUGACGAGUGGCGGACGGGUGAGUAAUGUCUGGGAAACUGCCUGAUGGAGGGGGAUAACUACUGGAAACGGUAGCUAAUACCGCAUAACGUCGCAAGACCAAAGAGGGGGACCUUCGGGCCUCUUGCCAUCGGAUGUGCCCAGAUGGGAUUAGCUAGUAGGUGGGGUAAAGGCUCACCUAGGCGACGAUCCCUAGCUGGUCUGAGAGGAUGACCAGCCACACUGGAACUGAGACACGGUCCAGACUCCUACGGGAGGCAGCAGUGGGGAAUAUUGCACAAUGGGCGCAAGCCUGAUGCAGCCAUGCCGCGUGUAUGAAGAAGGCCUUCGGGUUGUAAAGUACUUUCAGCGGGGAGGAAGGGAGUAAAGUUAAUACCUUUGCUCAUUGACGUUACCCGCAGAAGAAGCACCGGCUAACUCCGUGCCAGCAGCCGCGGUAAUACGGAGGGUGCAAGCGUUAAUCGGAAUUACUGGGCGUAAAGCGCACGCAGGCGGUUUGUUAAGUCAGAUGUGAAAUCCCCGGGCUCAACCUGGGAACUGCAUCUGAUACUGGCAAGCUUGAGUCUCGUAGAGGGGGGUAGAAUUCCAGGUGUAGCGGUGAAAUGCGUAGAGAUCUGGAGGAAUACCGGUGGCGAAGGCGGCCCCCUGGACGAAGACUGACGCUCAGGUGCGAAAGCGUGGGGGAGCAAACAGGAUUAGAUACCCUGGUAGUCCACGCCGUAAACGAUGUCGACUUGGAGGUUGUGCCCUUGAGGCGUGGCUUCCGGAGCUAACGCGUUAAGUCGACCGCCUGGGGAGUACGGCCGCAAGGUUAAAACUCAAAUGAACUGACGGGGGCCCGCACAAGCGGUGGAGCAUGUGGUUUAAUUCGAUGCAACGCGAAGAACCUUACCUGGUCUUGACAUCCACAGAACUUUCCAGAGAUGGAUUGGUGCCUUCGGGAACUGUGAGACAGGUGCUGCAUGGCUGUCGUCAGCUCGUGUUGUGAAAUGUUGGGUUAAGUCCCGCAACGAGCGCAACCCUUAUCCUUUGUUGCCAGCGGUCCGGCCGGGAACUCAAAGGAGACUGCCAGUGAUAAACUGGAGGAAGGUGGGGAUGACGUCAAGUCAUCAUGGCCCUUACGACCAGGGCUACACACGUGCUACAAUGGCGCAUACAAAGAGAAGCGACCUCGCGAGAGCAAGCGGACCUCAUAAAGUGCGUCGUAGUCCGGAUUGGAGUCUGCAACUCGACUCCAUGAAGUCGGAAUCGCUAGUAAUCGUGGAUCAGAAUGCCACGGUGAAUACGUUCCCGGGCCUUGUACACACCGCCCGUCACACCAUGGGAGUGGGUUGCAAAAGAAGUAGGUAGCUUAACUUUCGGGAGGGCGCUUACCACUUUGUGAUUCAUGACUGGGGUGAAGUCAUAA
rnacentral:rRNA from 1 species